AUUUGGUAGAUGGAAACUGAAAAAAGCCUGUCAUAUAUAUACACACACAAACAUCAAAGUAAGCAUAUAAAUGCAAAACAAGGUGGGGAAAAAACAGUACUCGAAUACUAAAAGUAGAGUAA